rnacentral:lncRNA from 1 species
CAACACAAUUUUUCUGGACAACUUUUGUUAAAUGAAAACCAGUUUUCAAACAAUGAGAAAACACAACAGGUUUUCACUGAGAGCAUGAGCUUUCAGCACAUUCAAUGUUAGAAAAGGAGAGAGAAGGGGGAAGAAAAAUGAUUUGCCUGUGCAGUGCCAGGGGCCCUACAGGUAGCCUUGACGUUUCUCAGGCCUUUUGAGGAGACCUACGUAAUGCUUUCGAUUGUAUCGACCGAGCUGGCACGUCGGCAUCUACAGGUGUAUGCUGCCGCAGAGACUCUGGCAAGGAGCUGAGCCUGGAACAAAAUCCCAGUCAUUCCUUCGUAUUAGCUUAACGACUGCAGCGGCUUACUGCCUCGCCGAUGGAUAACAACAACACCGGUACGGCGAGCCCGAAGAUUGGCAGAUGCUAAUUAUUACCCCGGCGGCGUGGGAUGGCACCGAUUCCCAUCCUCGCCGUUAUUUUCCUUUCC